UUGGGAUUUUUCAUAUUUGAUGUUUGUGA
rnacentral:piRNA from 1 species